UUCGAUCAUUCGAAUAGAGGCAACUGUCCCUACACCGCAACAUAGCGUGACAUUCAACUUACCUAUCACCGUGGACAUUUUUCGCCUUAUGUGCUGUUGUACGUCUUGUCCAAGUUUUCUUACGACCGUUAUUGCUAGUGAUGGUAACACACGAGAUCUCUCUUCGUGGAGAAUAUACGCCCUGUAUGGCGCAAAUACUUGAAAGAACAAUGAACUAUCUAAAUGAAUGGACACUCCUCAUGCUUCGCAAACGAAAAAACCGCUCGUCGAAAUUAUAUAACCUCCGCGGCAGCAAAGACGAUAUGAUACUGGCAAGACAAUGUUUUUGUGCGAGUUAGUAACCACGAGACCCGGCAAUACCACUGCUGCUACUGUUACUACUAUCGUAAAACUCACUCUCGGUACGGUAAAUCACCAAGUUUUAAAAAGACUGUUUCGCUUGUCAAGUAUCAACCAAUAUUUUCUCGCACUCUUCCUUACACGUGAUAUUCACAUUAUGUGAUAAUUACAACAAACAUGUUCUGUUACUUAAAUUCACGCACUUUUAACACGCGUUUUUAACGACCAUAUGUUGUUUGUAAUUCCAUACGUAAUGCACAGAUGACACAAUUUGUUUAUUAACAAAUGUUACCAUACACAAAAUACAAAUCGCAAAAUUUUUACGUACAAGAAAACUAUCUUGAUAAAACGUUCUAGAAAAAAAUGUACUUCUGACUGUGAUAUUUCAAAUCAUAAGAUUAUAGAGACAGCCUUGAAAAUACAACUCCUUAAAAAGAAAAUUAUGACGUUUCUUUUAUGGUAUUACGCACAAUUUCUUGUUGUAUAUCGUGAACUUUUGUAUACUUGUGGUGAAAUUAUACUCGAUUAUUUUCACUAUAAGCUAAAUAAGAAAAAAAAAGAGAGCGAGAAACGUGUGUACCGUGUGGCUUGAUUGCCACAUGUACACAGACUAUGCACAAUAUAUAGAUAAACUCAA